UUCAAUGAUGAUUUUUACACAAUAUACGCUAAGGGGUCAGAAUUUAUCUGUUGUUGAAACCUCAGUUUACCCAGACUUGCCCUAUCUGAUCAAAUUCUUGAAAGCUACGUUUUCACUACUAAAUAACACAAGUUUCUAACAGCGUUUCUCUUCUAUUUUCAGAACUUCUCGACUCGAUUACAACUGAAAUUUCGGACAGGGGUGACUUGAAAUAUUUACUGACGUUCGCUUCCAGUUGAUUUCAACGAUGUCAACGAAAGAUGCCUCAUCGAAUUCACCGUUUGAGAAUAGACUUUCAACCCGGAUGGAACUGAACAAAUCUGAGAUUGUUCACAUCUUUGGCAGAAGCACUCGGUUGAUCAGCUUCCUGCAACGAACAACCUAAGAUUUUUGGCGUUGGACCGUGAGGAAGCUUCACAGCAACGAUUCUCAGCUCGCAACUGAUUCCAAUCAACCUUGGACGGAGAUGUCAUCAUUUCCAGCAAAUCUCGCACAAAAACUGCAAAUCUCACGCGAAGACGAACCAAGCUGUUGCUGAGAAUGACAACGGUAAGUUCCAAACGCUAAUCAGAAGAAGAAAUUUUCAGUCUUUCAAUGAUGAUCACUUGAAUAUUUAGAACAUUUUUGUACCGCUCCAGGCUGAAUGUUUACAUGUUGUUAGUUCUAAUCUGAAACCUAAGCUAAAAGGUUGUCAAUCAAUCGUAAAUUUUUGAGUUGAAACUAAUCGUUGCUCAUUUUCUUUACAGUUAGCUCGCCGUGAUCAUCUCGUCGUCAUCAAAACCCUGCCAAUCGAAGAGGUGAGUUUCUUUCAAAUUAAUAUGUUAGGUUAUCGCUUUCCUUAUGAUGAACUCAGAAUUUAUCAGUUAUCCCUGUCUUAGUAAUAAUGCUGAUAAACAUUCGUACUGAAAGUGAUCAAAUCCAGAAAAAUGUCAAGUUGUCAACAGAUUUCAGUAUGCUUAUCUGCUUUAUCUUUCUUUUUUCAGAUGGAUUAUUUCGGUUGAACGUGCUACCUUCAAGCUGAAUUUAUCGAAAGAUUGAUCAACUGGAUCUGAUGAACUCGCACUGCAUACCCGUUGGCAACGCGUCUCAAACGAUUUCGGUGGGACGAGAUAGUAUCGAAGUACGGGAUUUGCGGACAAUGUUUAAGAUUUCAUGCUGGACUCGGAACGACUCAACAUUACACAUGACUUGAGAGAUCAAACAAUGUCUACGUCAAAAUGAAAUGAAAAUAGGAGCCUUAAUUUGAAGCAAAAUAAAUUGUUUCAAACGCAAAA